rnacentral:rRNA from 1 species
GAUGAACGCUGGCGGCGUGCUUAACACAUGCAAGUCGAACGGUGAAAGAGAGCUUGCUCUCUGGAUCAGUGGCGAACGGGUGAGUAACACGUGAGCAAUCUGCCCUUGACUCUGGGAUAAGCGCUGGAAACGGCGUCUAACACCGGAUACGAGCUGCGAAGGCACCUUCAGCAGCUGGAAAGAACUUCGGUCAGGGAUGAGCUCGCGGCCUAUCAGCUAGUUGGUGAGGUAACGGCUCACCGAGGCGUCGACGGGUAGCCGGCCUGAGAGGGGGGCCGGCCACACUGGGACUGAGACACGGCCCAGACUCCUACGGGAGGCAGCAGUGGGGAAUAUUGCACAAUGGGCGCAAGCCUGAUGCAGCAACGCCGCGUGAGGGACGACGGCCUUCGGGUUGUAAACCUCUUUUAGCAGGGAAGAAGCGAAAGUGACGGUACCUGCAGAAAAAGCACCGGCUAACUACGUGCCAGCCGCCGCCGUAACAC